rnacentral:lncRNA from 1 species
UGGCGGGUUCCGGGACUGGUGGCUGCGGUAGCUCAUUGGCCUUUGGUCUCUUAGACGGUGGAGAAUAAUCAUCAUCUUGAAAAAGAAAAUGGUCAUUACUGGAAGAACCAUCUUACAGUUACAGUCACCUCCUGGUCAAUUCCCAACAUUCAAAAGGUGCUGGGAUUAUAGGCGUGAGCCACUGCGCCCAGCUACAACUGACUUUUUUGAUCCCUGGGAGAUGAGUCAACACCAAGGGACGACCAGUCCUAAGCCCUGGACAUGGACCUGGGGGUGAGGACAGAAGGGGAUCAGGACCAGCCCUCUCAUCCUGCACACUGAGGCAUGGGUGAUCCCAGGAAGCCACUCACCAGGCACCAGGGUGGCUUCCUGGAGGAGAGGAUGCCGAAGCCGACCUCAAGAAGUGUCUGUGUUAGGUUUAAGGACUCACAAGACUUCUCUGGCUGGACUAAAGGAGAAGAGAGAGAUUCGUGUUGACAAGUCCUUGUUGUCCAGACUCACACGGAUACAGCUGUGGGGAAGGAAGGAAGGCUGCAAUGCUGCUGUUUCCAUGAACAUGCCUGGCACCCUCCAGGUGUCAGCAGGGCCAGGGGAGUGGAGAACUGGUCUCCCUCUCCGCUCCUCUACAGAACACAGUAGUGUGAGGAUUCUGUACAGGUUUUGUUGGGAAAGAAAGGAGUAAAAAGGGACUUGGGACGGAAAAUGUUUCCUCCUUUUCAAAUAAAUUGUGCAUCAGGAUGUAGAGAGAGUGGAAGAGGGAGUUCAGAGGCACCAGGUGACCAAACGUAAGAGAAAAGAACAGUCCAGGUGUGGUGGCUCACACCUGUAAUCCCAGCACUUUAGGAGGCUGAGGCGGGUGGUUCAUCUGAGGUCAGGAGUUCAAGACCAGCUUGGUCAACAUGGUGAAACCCCAUCUCUACAAAAAUACAGAAAUUAGUCAUACGUGGUGGUGGGUGCCUGUAAUCCCAGCUACUCGGGAGGCUGAGGUGGGGGAAUCGCUUGAACCCGGGAGGCGGAGGUUGCAGUGAGCCCAGUGCACUCCAGCCUGGAUGACAGAGCGAGACUCCGUCUCAAAAAAAAAAAAAAAAAAAAAAUCAGAUGACCCGCUGUGGAGCUGACUCUGUUCCCAAACCAGGAUUUUCAUCAAGCUAAAAAUCUAGGCUGGGCUGGGUGGCUCCAACCUGUAACCCCAGCACUUUGGGAGGCCGAGGUGGGCAGACUGUUUGAGCUUGGG